rnacentral:rRNA from 1 species
CCGCCUGGGGAGUACGGCCGCAAGGUUAAAACUCAAAUGAAUUGACGGGGGCCCGCACAAGCGGUGGAGCAUGUGGUUUAAUUCGAUGCAACGCGAAGAACCUUACCUGGUCUUGACAUCCACGGAACUUUCCAGAGAUGGAUUGGUGCCUUCGGGAACCGUGAGACAGGUGCUGCAUGGCUGUCGUCAGCUCGUGUUGUGAAAUGUUGGGUUAAGUCCCGCAACGAGCGCAACCCUUAUCCUUUGUUGCCAGCG